ACAUACAAUUACUUUGGAACACUCAGAAUAUUUUCUAUGGUAGUAAGAGCUCAUAUUCCUGGGAAAGGUAAUGAACAAAGUUCAAUGCUAUUUCCAGAAUGAAUAUAUCUAUGCAAAUCUUAAAUAUUCCCUACAGCAUCUGUGAUCUCUCAGAAAUUUAUUAAUAAAGACAAUCAGUAUCUGAGCAAUAAGGCAAAUACUAAUAUGCAGAAAAAGUAGUACAUGUCUUAGACAGUUCAAGACAGAAUAAACUUGAAUAGUGCUUUGCAGUUUCAAGCCACCUUACUGCUAGCCACAGUACCAAUGUAUGGUAGGUUUCUACAUACAGCCUUCACUACCAGCCUACCUUACUGAGGUGGUAUCAAGACAUCUGCCUGGGACUACCACAUUACUGAUUAACUUGUUUAUUUGUCACAUUUGAAAGAUGAAGAAAUAGUGUUUAAGAACCCAAAGUAAUUUGUGCCACUAAACUGUGCAAUAACAAUUCAACAUGUUUACAGUUUUAUUUUAGAAAUGUUUCUCCACAAUUUACAUAGUUACUCAUCACUGGAUACCAAUGACUUGAUUAUGUAAAGUAACAAUCUGUUUUGAAGCUUCCAAAGAGGCAAAGUAUAUCACCUGCAUCUAUACUCCUUCAUGUUAUGCACUUAAAAAAAAAAAUAAAAAAUUGAAAUCUGCUUCUCAAAAUCCCAUUAUCUCAAGAAAUGUCAACAUUUCAUAUGUUACUUCAAAAUACAAUAUAUUCUUACUAUUAUGACUGAAAAUUUAUUUCUGUCAAACAGAAGAAAACCUGGAAAUGGGGACAGAGUAAUUAACUUGUAAGCUUAAAAAAAGACUACAAAACACCAAAAACUCAUUCCCCUUCAAAAAAAUAAAACUAACUUAUGCACUAAUUUUCUUAUCUCAGCUAUUUCUCCUUGUCACUGUUCUGCUUUGCAUCCUCACCAAUUUAAUACUUAACCAGCAUGCCAUGGUUUCUGCUGUCAACUUGCUAAAUAAUAUGCUGUUAAGUCUGAACCAGUUGGCUUCCAAGCAAUUUUCAUGGUGUCCUUUGUGUGAGUGCAGAGGACAAAAGCAUUGGCCAUAUGUAAAGGACUCCAGUCCCCCUUAUCUCACAGUCUUGUUUACAGUGAGCAACCAAAAGAAAUAUGUUUAGAUAUGAACAGCUGUCAGGCAGCAUCAGAAAGAUCUGUAGGAAUUUCAAAGCAGAAGAGUUCAUGGAGACAAAAGCAUUGAAAGCUGGUGAGCACUGCGGAAAAAAAGCAGAAUAGAAACACUUUGCUACAGCUUGUGUGAUGCAAACUACUUUGCGUUCAUGGAACGCAUACUUGGAGGUGUGAGCUGUAAACUGCUCCUUAGUAGAAGAAUUCGUCUUUUACGAAACAGAUUUAAUUGCGUCCAUCUUCAAACAAAUUGAAAAAUAACCAGAAGAUGUUAAGUGUUUCUGAGUCCGAUGAGUCUGUUGGCUGCAGCACCCAAGUCACACCUGCUACAGUUUCUUCACCAUAUGAAAAAGGAAGCCUCGAACAGAACUGAAAUGAUCUGACCCAUGCUACACCAUGCUGUGGGAGUGGAUAGGUCCUUUUUGAUGGAUAGGCAAGAGUUCUGGAGACAUUCCGCAGAAGGACCCAGCUCAUACAUGUCAGUGCAGAAACAGCAAAGACGAGAUCCAUUACAUGCUUUUCUUCACUGGCACCUUUAAUGACAAGAAGCUCCAGUAUGGUUUCAUGGCUAUAAGCCAAGUUAAUUACACAAUGUGAGAUCUUAGGAUUCUGUAAGUCAAUAUUAAGAACAAUUUUGAAUAUAUUUGAACAAUGUAGACAUAAAUGUCAAGUUACAAUAUUAAUUCUUUCUAGGCAGACCCAAUAUAUUAAAAUAUAUUUUCCUCUCUGAAAAGUCAGAGCAUUCAAAUAAAAUCAAGAAUCUUUUGUCAGUUACCCAUCUACACCAAACGAACAAGGAGGCAGCAUUCUGCUGUGCAUACUUUCUUGCAUUUUAAUGAUGUCAGUUCUUUUCUGUCAGAUAUAAGAAAUUCAGAGAAGUGACCUCUCAGCAGCUUCUUUGAGUGGUGUUGAGUAAUACACAAUUUAUGUGUCAGAAUAAGGACUUGCAGACACACAGCAUAGGAGUUUACUAAAUAAUAUGUCUGAAUACUUUUAUAGUACAUUGUCAUAUCUGCUCUGAAUGCACAGGCACAGGUUUUAUAUUGAGUUCUAAAUUUGGGAAGUAUUAUUUUUCCUUCUUUCCAUAAAACUUUGGACACGUAUUUGUGGGUCAGUUGGUGGUAAAUUCAUUUUAUUCUCUUAAUGGAACUGAACGCAGUGUAGUUCAUAGCAGCACAUGCAAAAACUUCUGUAGAUAUCUUAUACCAAGUGCCAUUCUUUUAAUCACCUCUGAAGAAUGCUACCUUUAUUGUUCUGUGUGUUACUGUUCUGUUUGAGUGCACUGGUGAAUUUCCUGAGGUUGGUUUUGAGUUUUAGUACAAAGUAAAUGUUGCUUCGAUGCUCCAAAUUGAUUAUGUUCACCCUCAGGUGAUUUUACAAUAACCUAUUGCAGAUUAAAAUCACAAAAUGCUAUGUUACCUCCAGUCUUUUUUAAGAUAAUUGACCCUCCCAGUGAAGUAAUAAUCUACAACCUGGUUGCUUAAAUACGCUUGCUACUAGAUAGCUUUUCUAAAGUGUAAAUGAUAACAUAUUUUGAUGACAAAACUGAGUUUGUUUGUCUUCUAAUUCAGUUAAACAUCCUGCACUGAAAAGAGCAUAUUGCUUAAAAUCCAUCAGAAAAAGAUGGAAGGCCCUAAAUUUACCAGGGGUAUUUUUCAUAAUUUCUAAGUUUUUUUAUUCCUUAUCCUGCUAUUCAAAAGCAAAAUUGCAGGUGAAAAUCUAAGCCGUUCAAGCUCAAAGAAAUCAGUGCACGUAAAAUUUGACGUUAUAAAUUUAUUUGCCCUGAAACAAAGGAUACUUCUACAUUUUCUCAUAAUUAAUAUGGGUUUACUUGAAUUUUUAAAUUUGUAAGAAAAUAUUUAAAUGUGAAUUAAAAUUAAGCUACUCUUUGAUAAUUUGUAAUUUUUAAUAGAGACGAUGGGCCUCAGAAUGCUUUGGAUUUCUCUCCGUUUGGAGACUCAUGCACGUUUCUAGCUUGAUGUAUGGGAAAAAAGCUUAUUUUGCUUUUAUAUUGCCUACUGUUUGCUUUCAUCCCAGAUGAGUGCUGAUGAAAGGAACAGGGAGAAACACAUAUGAAAACUUUGUUUCCCAUAUUAAAGCAACCAUUUUGCAGCUGGUUGUGAUUUUCUGUACUCCAUUGUUGCCUCCUCGAAUUCCCUUUCAACCCACUUCCCUUAUUUUUGUGUUUCUCCUUGCUCUAGCACUUCAAGUGAAUAUAUACUUCCUUCAAACGUAGCAGACAAACAUGCUGACUUAAGCAGCUUAUUUGAAAAUAUGAUCCAAUUAAUUUCUUAGCUUUUUUUCUUCUAACUAAAUAGAGUGGGUUACCUUUAUUUAAAGCAAUGGCAAGCUUAUGUCCAUAGCCCAUUAGUUCAUGAUAAAGCAAAUUGAUCAAAUGGAAGCCUGCUACCACGACCAAACUCUGAUCAAGUUCUUACUUGAGUGAGGAACCAUAAAGGAAUUCUGUAAGACUAAACUUCUGUUGUAUUUCCCCAUUUAAGUACCCCCAGGUACCUCACUUUAAGUGCUCCUGCACUUAUAUGGUAAGUAAAAAGAGCUCUGUGUAUGUUGUACUGAGACCUGACUCUACAUUACUUUUUUAGAUAAGUAGCCCAUGGGGAGACAGGUAGGUUAUUGGCAUGUGUUGAGGUUUGAUUGAGGGGUGACAACAGGCAUGUGUCAAGGUUUGAUUGAGGGGUGACAAUAAAACCAUGGCAGAUAUAUUAUUAACCCCCUCUCCCUCCACUUUCCCCUUCAGCCCUGCCUUCUCCUCCCUUCCCACUAAGGACAGACAAUUGGGAGGGAAAGAAGGACAGAGAGAAGAGAGUUGAAAAAAUUAAAAAUGUUUUACUAAUGUUACUGAUAAAAUAGAGAAAAAGAAUACAAAAUAUACAAAAACAAUCUUGAAAGUCCAGGCAACUGCUCCAGCAGAUGUAGGGCUUGCACCUGAAGUCCUGGACUGGACUCUGCAGCCAACCGGAACUGGAUUCAGUAGGUCACUAGGCCUCAGUUCACAGAGACGACUUGCAAGGUCCUCUCCUGUCAACCAUAAGGAAAAGGGAUGAGAUCCUCGUGAUCUCCCACUUGUAUAUGAAGUGUCAUGUGAAUGUGAUGUUAUACUCAGUUGGUCAGUUUUUGGUCACGUGUUUCUCGUUGCCCCUCUUGAGAGAUGUGCAUCCAUACUUACCACAACCUCGCAUUCCAUUCCUAUGUCUACCAAAACAUGUACCGAGCCUUUCAGCAGAGUGCAUUUAACAAGAAGGCUUUAGCUGACAGGCAAAUUCACUAAAAAAUAAACUUUUUUUUUAGCAAAACCAGGACAGCAUGAGGAAAGUUGUUGGAAUUUGAACUUUGGGUAUUAAAGCCUUUAUGAGAUAUACAGAAAGUACUCUAUAAAAAUAUUCAAUAUCCAAACAGAAAAAGUAGACAAGAAAAAUCUAAUAUGUAGAAAAAUCUUCAUUCUUGACUGUGUUUUUGCAUUACUGAUGCAGCAUCUUAAUUUCUUUUUAACUUACAGUAUGAGUUAACAUACAAGAAAUUGCAUAUGCUGACCUACUGCAUAACUAAGCAUAUCAGUCAAUGUUUACUGUUAAUUUGAUUUCACUGCAUUACACCUAGCACACAGACCAAAGCUCCUGGGUGUUAACAUACGCAUCUGCUAUUCUAGAGUUACUUAUUGGUCCUGCCAACAUAGUUUUUUUAAAUUCCUUUAUAGUUGUACUGUAUCUUGGUAACAACUUCUUGCACCAGCCAGCUACACAGAGAAAUAGUAAAUUAAAAAAAAAAAUAAAAAAAAUAAAAAUAAAAAUGAUAUAUAAAAUAUCCUCAAAGUGGCCAAAGGCAUUGAAAGAGCUAAAAUUAAUUCUCUCAGCAACCAGCUGCUGAGUGAGUCCAGCAUACUAGCAAAUACUGUAGGUAUUCCUGGUUGAGAGGUGUCUGCUGGAUUUUGUUUUUAAACACGCUGUGAAAGAAACUCUUGUGAUCUGACCUAACCAGCAUCAUGCUGCAUGGACUCUGCGUAACAGAAUGGGGCUCAGUCUUUUGGGUUGCUUGUAGGUUUUGAUGUAAAGUUCUGAGACUGAUCUUCUGAGUGCCAUGGGACUUAUGGAGUGUGCCCUCAGAACCAUUCAAACUUUUUCAUACUGAAAUGCACCUUUUUAGAGUUUGUACUGUUCCAAUAUUAUGGCAUGAGUCACAUAUCAAAUUACUUUCUUCUUGUGUCAUUUUCAUUGUUUCCAGUAAGAAAACAAAAGAAAAAAGGAUGCUGUUAGAGUAGUGUUAACACUUCUUAAUGGCAGGACAAGCGAUUAUUGUCAAUUCUUUCUCUUAUUCAGCAGACAAGUUAUUUCCUAAUAAUAUAACAUCUAAUUAGAAUGCCACUUAUAAGAUGCACUGACUAGGUAGAAUAAUAAAUAUCCAUUUAAAAAAAAUAGAUGUUUGUAUGAAACAGGAUACCACUUCCUAACUGCUGGUCACUAGAUACACAUUCUAAUAUGAUUAAGUGGUGUAUCUUAUGAGAAAACAUGUAUACAUAUUUUAUUAUCAAUUAUGAGAAAGGAGAUCUAUUCCAUAAAUUAUCAAAUGUAAGCAUUUGAAUAUGGUCUGAGAUAAGGUAUGACUCAAUACUGUUACAUCUACCUGACAGGAAAUACUUUCAUUAUACUGGUACAGCUUCAAGAAUGAAUUACACAUAUAGUAUUUCAACUUAGUAGGAAACAGCUAUAGAAAUAAAAAGUAACUCUAGGAUAGGAGUGCAUAAUAAAAAGGAGUAUUUUCUGCUUUCAGAUACAGUGUCUGGGGUCUAGCAGAUACUGCCUCAAAGUUUUUAGAUGAAAAUAGAAAUCCAAGCAGAGUAAAAUAAAGAUUUCGUGUUAUGUUGGUCCAGAGACUAUCUACAUAAUCUAGAUGAAGACUGAUGUGGAUGCCUGUCUUUGAUUUACAACUCUGCGGCUCUGCUGAGCUCUGGUUCACAUAGGUGUACUCUGAACUCAAUGUAAAAGAAGUAAAACAAAGUUUGGCUGCCCCUCAUAAAUAUUUAAUCCAUUGAAUUAAUUUAAAGACACAGUGAUAGCAUGCAUAAGUAUGCAAGCCUUUAGUGUUGCAUGCCGUAUUAAUAUGGGAAUCACUACAGCUGAUUUAAUUUGAAUAUUUUUAAAUAUACAUUUCUGCAGGAGCUUUGAGAAAUGGUUGUUUCAUUUUUUUUUCUUAUGCCGUAUCAUAGAUUUUUAUUACAGAAGUGUUUUGGUUUUUUUUUGUUUGUUUGUUUGCAUGACUGUUUUGUUCGGAAAUUCAGAUAACUUGGUUAUUUUUCCUUAUAAAAACACAAUUUCCCUCCCUAAAGGCACCAUUUUUAUUCCAUGGCUGUUUUUUCCCCACCAGACAGUCUCUACAUGAUUUUCAGUGCCUUUUCAUAACUGCUUCUGAACUGCUUCUGAAUGUUUUUCUUCCCAAUAUCAUUUAAAACUUUGCUAUAUAGUACUAAACUUUCAUUUAUUUUCUCACUUUACUUUGUGUGGAAAGUGGAGGAAAAACAUUUUAACACUGUUUUUAUGUUGUGGCGUAUGAAAUUAAGUUUCAUGUGUGGUUUGGUACAUGGACUCACAGAGUUAAAUUCUUUCUGUGAGUCAGGGGUAGGCAAUGUGUUAUCAGCCAUGAAGUGUGUGUUUCAGAAAGCUGGUUUCACUGAAUAAUUCAAUAUCUGAGCUUUAAUGAUAUUUUAAUAGGAAUUUGUAUGUAGGCUGUACCUUGGAUAGAUGAAAGAAGGCAGAAAAAAUUUUUAUUAUUUGCUGAAUCAUUAUCAUCUGAGAUAAUUUUUCAGCCUCUUUUGGGAUCAGUCCUCCCUGAGACUGACACUUGUUGCAUUGCCUCCAAUGAUAGGGAACCUCCACCUCCUCUAUAGGUUGUGUAUAGUCUCCAUAACUUCUCACAGCUAUUCCCCGAGGACCUGAGCCACCUUACUGUGAGAGAUGGCCUCUCAGUGGCAGAACCAUCAUUGUUACUUGUCUGCCUCCGGGAAGAGGUGAUCUGGUACCACCUAAUGAGAACCAGAGACAAGACAAGUCCCAUGAAGGUCAGGGCUGGCACUGCUGAGAGGACACUCCCAUUUCAGCUCCUGCGCCCAUGCCAUGAGCCCCAGUUGUGACUAUGGAGGCACUGGGACUGCCGUCUGGGAAUCAUGCUGUGGAGCACAGCUUGUCUCCGGAUGGGCGAGAAUUGGCCAUACCCAUCACUGUUUGUCGGUGCCAGAUGGAAGGGAAAGGAGGAAGGGAAGCCAACACCAGCCCAGAACAUUGGAAACAUAUUUCAGAAAUGUCUGCACUGGGAAUUUCUGCGUACACCAGAACUGUUUCUGGGCCACUCUCCACAAACAGGUUGAGGAACGGAAGGGGGAUCCACAGCAGCAGUGAUGGGAAGAGGUAGAAGUUUUAUUUGCUGUAGUGCUUGAAGUGUGUUUUUCCUGAUGAUGUCCCCACAGCUGCCUUUAAUCCCUGAAGUUGGGGCUGCAGCUACAUGCAGUCAGGCUCAGCCACACAGGGAACUGGUGCCCUCUAGCACCCA